rnacentral:rRNA from 1 species
AUUGAACGCUGGCGGCAGGCCUAACACAUGCAAGUCGAACGAGUGGCGGACGGGUGAGUAAUGACUGGGAAACAGCCUGAUGGAGGGGGAUAACUACUGGAAACGGUAGCUAAUACCGCAUACCAUCGGAUGUGCACAGAUUGGAUUAGCUAGUAAGUGGGGUAAAGGCUCACAUAGGCGACGAUCCCUAGCUGGUAUGAGAGGAUGACCAGCCACACUGUAACGUAGACACGGUCCCGACUCCUGCGGUAGGCAGCAGUGGGGAAUAUUGCACAAUUUGCGCAAGCCGUAUGCAGCCAUGCCGCUUGUAUGAAGAAGGCCUUCGUGUUGUAAAGUACUUUCAGCGGGGAGGCGUUACCCGCAGAAGAAGCACCGGCUAACUCCGUGCCAGCAGCCGCGGUAAUAC